UUAGCCCUUUCCUUUCAUCACCUUUCAUUUCUCUUUCUUUUUUCUCCGGUUAUAAACAGUGCUGCGGUGAGGAUCCCUGCCGUCCACACGGGAGAGAUGCCGAUGCCGUCCAGCGGAAGAUCACUGGGGCACACCUGGCGUGGAACUGUAAGAUGUUUUGGGAUAAAGAAUGAAGAAAACACUCUGGAACAGGAGGUUUGUGGGGACAGAAGGGAGGGACAGCUGAGUGGACGUUAGCAAAUGGUUAGCUAUGAAGAGGAUGGGAUGUGUUCUGUGGCCCUGUGUCCACCUGAGAUGUGAGAAUCACAUUUCACGCGAGGCCCGCCCACCUCUCGCCAAGAAGUAAUAAACAUUACCCCCCCCCCGCCCCCGCCGCA
ensembl:lncRNA